GUCAUUUGCAUUUUAUGGUUCCUCGUGGUCUUAGCAAUUUCACUUCUCAGUGAAAAGCUGACUGCAAAAACUCAUCAAACGGUCAAGUCUGACGUCCAAGGCUUACCUGAAGAUUUGGCACAGACUCGCAGCACACAACAAAGCUUUCCACAAAUGAAAGAACUUGCUGUGAGAAUCAGUCGGAUGAAGCUUUCUAAUGGAGCCACUUGAAGAUUGAUUAAAUAUGAAGGCAUGGGAGUGAAUGUAGAGGAAACGAAGAGAAAGAAAAUAUGGCAAGUAUAUUUACACAGAGGCAUCGCGAUCGACAAGAAGAAGUAAAGGAAACCGGGCCAGGAGCCCAUUACUCAAUGGACUCUUGACCGGGCCUAUCAUGAUCAUCUCAUUGGAUCCGUUUUAA